CAAAAACAGAGAAUAUGACCUGGGUUGAGACAAAGACAUCACCGGUUUCUCCUUCUAAAACUCCAAGAAUAUCUGAAAAGUUUGGUUCUUUUCUGGUUCAUCACCAUAAUCCGAUCAUCAUUGCAGUUGGGAAAGAUAUUGCCAUGGAAGGUGGUAUCUUGUCAGCACAAAGAAAAUAGUUGGGGUAAUGUAUCCGGAUCUAUGGUUUGGAGGCGCUCGAUCUAUGGUUCCCACCAGUAAUCGUUGCCGUUCUCCUCCCAUCUGGAUAAUGAGCUACUAAGACGGAGGAGGCGUCGUCCGUUGUGCUGUGAGCUGUCUCACCCUCCUCUUGAAGGAUCUGAUGGAUGCUCUGGUGUGGAGGUCCCUAGGAGAGAUCGAUGCUCUGGUGGCUCGUUCAUCGACGGCGGUGUUCUUCCGGUUUGAGGGCGACUGGGAGACUGACGGCUGUGGCUGGUUAGCUAUCGGGGCGGAGGCUUGUCUUAUUGUCGAGGAGAGCUCAGCGUCGGCAGAUUUACGGUGAGAUGGCGGUUCUCAGCCGUGUGUUUCUCGUCGGUCUGGCUUUUCCUCGCCGUCUUGGGGGUGUGGCGGUGUGUGCUUUCGCGGUUUGGAUUCUUGAGCAGAUCGACUUAUCAAGGGUUUCAGAGGUGGUCUCUGCUUCGCAACCACCGUUCAUAGCCGCAGGACAACUUCGUGGGCGGCACAAUAUGGUUGAAACUGGUGACGGAUCUUCCGCCAGUCUUGGACACACCGGUUAGGAAAAGUCCCGACUGUAAGAGAUAUCACGUAUCUCUCUAUAUGAUCUCCUAAGAUAUCAAUCCCUCUGUUUUAGGAAUGUAUAGUUAAUGGCUACCCUAGUUACAUUGUAUAUAUAAACUCUCCUUGUACUUGUAAAGAGAGAUAUGAAAUACAAUUCUAUCAUGGUAUCAAGAGCCUAAACGAUUACCCUAUUUUUUUUUAACGCCGUCAUCUUCCUUCUCUUUCAAUCUCUUCCCUAAACACCACCAUGAACACACAGGUCGAUCAAAUCGAUCCAACUAAAACCCUUCUUAAUGUCAACAUGAUCAACGUGAACAAACUCACCUCCACCAACUACAUGACUUGGAAUCUCCAAGUUCAUGCUCUGCUUGACGGCUACGAUCUUGCUGGAUACGUCGAUGGAUCCAAACCAGCGCCAGAUGAAACACUCACCGUCGAUGAUCAAACGACGGUGAAUCCGGAAUUCACAAAGUGGAGGCGUCAAGAUCGCCUUAUAUACAGUGGCCUCAUUGGCACUCUAUCCCCAUCGAUCCAAGCGCUUGUCACAAACACCAAGACUUCUCAUGAAGUUUGGAAAUCUCUCAGCUCAACCUAUGCAAACCCAAGCCGUGGUCAUAUUCAGCAACUUCGUCUUCAACUCAAGAACUUCACCAAAGGAGACAAGAGCAUCGAUGACUACAUGCGAGGCCUGACAAGUCGCUUUGAUCAACUUGCCUUGCUCGGCAAGCCUCUGGAUCAUGAAGACAAGAUUGAGUAUGUGAUUGACGGCUUACCUGAGGAGUACAAAACAGUUACUGAACAGAUUGAAGGACGAGACACUACUCCAUCAAUCAUUGAGAUUCACGAGAAACUGAUCAAUAAGGAAGCAAAGAUAUUGGCAGUCUCCACUCCUAUUGUCAACUCUGCUCCUGUUACUGCAAACAUGGCCGCCUCUCGCUCUAAGCAACAUGGGCAACGUGGAAACAACCCCAACUGGAGCAACAACAACAAGCCGAGUCAGUUCCAGCAGAAUCAGUUUCAGUCGCAGAAACAAGAGUUCAAAUCCUCGAAGGGCUAUCAAGGAAAAUGCCAGAUUUGUAGUGUGUUUGGACACAGUGCUCGUCGGUGCCCUCAGAUGCAUCAGCAACAAUACACGAAUGUCAGCUCAUCCCCCUUCCGUCCAUGGCAACCAAGAGCCAAUUUUGCGGCACCAGCUCAGCAUCCUUCAACCGCUUGGCUCAUGGAUUCUGGUGCAACACACCAUCUAACAAGCGAUCUCCACAACAUGCCGAUUCACCAAACCUACCAAGGAGAUGACUCUGUCCUGAUCGGGGAUGGCUCUGGUCUAGCCAUAACACACACUGGUUCUAUUUCUCUACCCUCCCUAGUAAAAUAGUUUAUGUACAGAAAUCUACUAUGGCAUUUUGAUAAACUUAUCAAUAUAGCUAUGACUCUAAUAUCAAAACAAGUUAUUUAUUACUCUAAUAUUGUGUGUAAUCAUUCAUUAACUUAUAUUUGUACACUAUUUAUAACAGUUGAAUAAGUAAUACUGUUCAUGCAAGCUCUUGUUUAGUAUACUGUGAAGUCAAUUAUAUGUUUUGUCAGUUGCUCACUAUUACAUAAACCAAUGUUGACAUAGUUGUAAAAAAUACCAAACCCUAUUGAAACCCUAUGUCUGAUUAAUAUUGUCCAAGUUGUAAUUUUGUCUUAAUGUGAGACGUUAACAUCUAAUAUAAUGUCUGACCCGAGAGUUGAUUCCGAUCACAGUACAAGUCUUUGCAAUGAACUAUUCUUUUUGACUUUUAUUCACCGUUUAAAUUUAAACAUUCUUAAAAAAAUUAGGGUAUUUGCAGUAGAUAGCGUAAACAAGUUUCCAAAUUAGCUAUAUGGAAAAGCACUAUUCAUUAUCUCAUAAUACCAAGUUUAACCCUACUAGUGAUAUUAUAGUUAUCCAAAUUUGAAGUAACCCUUGUUAUAUACAGUCAGUCGUCUUCUCUCCAUUUCAAUCAGAAAGCAAAUCCAGAUUGACGUUUAGAAAAGAUGAUCUCUUCCCAAUCCAUUGACUCACCUGAUUCAACUUAUUGAUGUCCCUUUCUUUAAUUCUUUCUCAAUUCUCAGCCGUCUCUCUCUCUCUUUCUCUCUGUUUUGAUAUUCACUCAGUUUUUUUUCUUUUUCGAACAAAUAAUAGCCAAAAACAGAGAAUAUGACCUGGGUUGAGACAAAGACAUCACCGGUUUCUCCUUCUAAAACUCCAAGAAUAUCUGAAAAGUUUGGUUCUUUUCUGGUUCAUCACCAUAAUCCGAUCAUCAUUGCAGUUGGGAAAGAUAUUGCCAUGGAAGGUGGUAUCUUGUCAGCACAAAGAAAAUAGUUGGGGUAAUGUAUCCGGAUCUAUGGUUUGGAGGCGCUCGAUCUAUGGUUCCCACCAGUAAUCGUUGCCGUUCUCCUCCCAUCUGGAUAAUGAGCUACUAAGACGGAGGAGGCGUCGUCCGUUGUGCUGUGAGCUGUCUCACCCUCCUCUUGAAGGAUCUGAUGGAUGCUCUGGUGUGGAGGUCCCUAGGAGAGAUCGAUGCUCUGGUGGCUCGUUCAUCGACGGCGGUGUUCUUCCGGUUUGAGGGCGACUGGGAGACUGACGGCUGUGGCUGGUUAGCUAUCGGGGCGGAGGCUUGUCUUAUUGUCGAGGAGAGCUCAGCGUCGGCAGAUUUACGGUGAGAUGGCGGUUCUCAGCCGUGUGUUUCUCGUCGGUC
rnacentral:lncRNA from 1 species